CGAGAGGUUGGCGCGGGCAAGCGCCUCGCCAACCUGGUCAGGUCCGGAAGGAAGCAGCCACAACGAGUCCCGCUUGGGUCGAUGUCCAGCCUCUCACUU
rnacentral:SRP_RNA from 1 species